rnacentral:lncRNA from 1 species
GCCGCGGCGUCUCCUCACAUCUGAGUCAGUCUUUCGUCGAACCGUGUCACAGUUGGUGCAGCUGGCCCUCCAGCCGGCUCUUCCUUUGUCUACCUCUCAUUCUCUAUUGAUCCAACUUUUCUUUGUAAACUUAACUUCUUACCUUCGCUCAAUCAUUUCUCCACCAACGUCGAACAACAUUUUCAACUUUCCAACAGUCUCGAACAGCAAUCUCACGCGAAAAGAGCCCACCGCUUCGAAUAUACGAGUAGAAAUUUGAUUUCAACUUACCCAAAUCGGUUUUCCAACUUCAAUUUGAGCGGCGAAAAAUCUCAAACGUCUGUGUUUUACAGGUUCGCUCGACUUCAACGCUUCCGACUCUUGAUUGGAUCACAUGGGAUGGGAGGAAGAUAACUUGGACCAGAUCUAUCAUAUUCGACAUCGAAGUAUGACACGCUGCACCUCCAAUGUGAUGAAUGACGCUUCAAGUACACUACUCACUUCCACUUUUAGAUUGCUGGAAUUGUUGAAUCUUCACAAACAAAAUAUCAUUGUAACUGAAAUUUUGCCAAGCUGUUCCGAACAAGGAAAUUGACAUUUCGAUACAAAUGGAACAAUUGGGAUGUCCAGUCGAUGAAUAUUGCUGAUCAUACAUUACUCUAUAACUG